AAUAAAGGAAAAAAAUAAUUGAAUCUUCAUGUUAAUCUCACGAAUCCUAGAUAUUGUCAAUAGAAUCUCUGAACCUCAAUCUCACCGCACAGAAACCUCAAUCGAACCCUCAAUCUCUCAGAACUCUGAAUCGAAUCCUUUAACUCACCCACUGAAAUCUCAAUCGAUCCCUCAAUCUCUCAGAAUCCUGAAUCAAACUUCAGUCUCAAACUCUCAAGUUCAAUCACCCUCACCUCACUUAAAUCUCAAUCGAAGAGUAAUUUGUGCAAAUAUAUGUUCAAGACCUGUUCAAAUUUAGGCGAUUCUAGCUUUAAAGUUGAGAAUUUUUUUGGAGGCAUAACAAAUUCAUGAAUAAUGAUGAUAUCAAUGAAGAAUUUGAAGAUUUGGAAGCACAAGAUGAAGAGAUAUAAAUGUGUGUGUGUGUGUAUAUAUAUAUAUUAAAGAUGUUAAUUGUGAUCAAAGAUAAUCUUAAUCUAUUUAUUAAAUAUUAACAAAACAAUAUAUUUUGAUAUAUAUUUAACAAGUAUUUGAUUUUGUUA